UCUCAUUAGUCGGGGUGCCAUUUGGCUGAGAUAAUACCCGUUGAACCUGAUUCAGUUAAUACUGCCGUAGGAAACUAAAUAUGCAAAAUU
rnacentral:ncRNA from 2 species